rnacentral:rRNA from 1 species
UCUGAUUUGAAGAGCUUGCUCAGAUAUGACGAUGGACAUUGCAAAGAGUGGCGAACGGGUGAGUAACACGUGGGAAACCUACCUCUUAGCAGGGGAUAACAUUUGGAAACAGAUGCUAAUACCGUAUAACAAUAGCAACCGCAUGGUUGCUACUUAAAAGAUGGUUCUGCUAUCACUAAGAGAUGGUCCCGCGGUGCAUUAGUUAGUUGGUGAGGUAAUGGCUCACCAAGACGAUGAUGCAUAGCCGAGUUGAGAGACUGAUCGGCCACAAUGGGACUGAGACACGGCCCAUACUCCUACGGGAGGCAGCAGUAGGGAAUCUUCCACAAUGGGCGAAAGCCUGAUGGAGCAACGCCGCGUGUGUGAUGAAGGGUUUCGGCUCGUAAAACACUGUUGUAAGAGAAGAAUGACAUUGAGAGUAACUGUUCAAUGUGUGACGGUAUCUUACCAGAAAGGAACGGCUAAAUACGUGCCAGCAGCCGCGGUAAUACGUAUGUUCCAAGCGUUAUCCGGAUUUAUUGGGCGUAAAGCGAGCGCAGACGGUUAUUUAAGUCUGAAGUGAAAGCCCUCAGCUCAACUGAAGAAUUGCUUUGGAAACUGGAUGACUUGAGUGCAGUAGAAGAAAGUGGAACUCCAUGUGUAGCGGUGAAAUGCGUAGAUAUAUGGAAGAACACCAGUGGCGAAGGCUGCUUUCUGGACUGUAACUGACGUUGAGGCUCGAAAGUGUGGGUAGCAAACAGGAUUAGAUACCCUGGUAGUCCACACCGUAGACGAGGAGUGCUAGGUGUUUGAGGGUUCCCGCCCUAAGUGCCGCACCUAACGCAUUAAACACUCCGGCGGGGGAGUACAACCGGGAGGGUGAAACUUCAAAGGAAUUGACGGGGGACCCCGCCCAAGGGG